rnacentral:rRNA from 1 species
CGUACACUCCUGCGGGAGGCAGCAGUGGGGAAUAUUGCACAAUGGGCGCAAGCCUGAUGCAGCCAUGCCGCGUGUAUGAAGAAGGCCUUCGGGUUGUAAAGUACUUUCAGCGGGGAGGAAGGCAAUACGGUUAAUAACCGUGUCGAUUGACGUUACCCGCAGAAGAAGCACCGGCUAACUCCGUGCCAGCAGCCGCGGUAAUACGGAGGGUGCAAGCGUUAAUCGGAAUUACUGGGCGUAAAGCGCACGCAGGCGGUCUGUCAAGUCGGAUGUGAAAUCCCCGGGCUCAACCUGGGAACUGCAUUCGAAACUGGCAGGCUUGAGUCUUGUAGAGGGGGGUAGAAUUCCAGGUGUAGCGGUGAAAUGCGUAGAGAUCUGGAGGAAUACCGGUGGCGAAGGCGGCCCCCUGGACAAAGACUGACGCUCAGGUGCGAAAGCGUGGGGAGCAAACAGGAUUAGAUACCCUUGUAGUCCCAU